rnacentral:lncRNA from 1 species
AUACAACGCCGUCACCAUCCAUGAGAUCACCGAAAGCACGGUCGCUUUCGGUGGCGGCCUACAGAUGGCAGCACAGGUAGCGCCGGUAAAGUUACAGGUGAUAUUAUUUUGCCGUCCUCAGUUGUCGCCACAUGUGAGUGCUUGCUGCAUUGACGCCGUCCGAUGUAGUUGUUUAAUCGUGUGUACGCUGUGCCGAGAGAAAUUGUGGUGCAUUUUGUAUGCAUUGAGAAUCACAAAACCCCUGGGACCGCGUAAUGUAGCCCGCAGUAUCCUUCCUGUGGUGCGCCGAUGUCGAAGAUAUGACCCUUCGCGCUUCCUUUGUUCCGGGCUCAUGAACAGGAUCUCCUCCUCUGGCACUGUCGCAUCGUAUCGCGCUGUACGGAAGAAUUUGGUGAAAGUUGUGCUCUUACGUCCUGUAGUUGAUCCGCAAUUCAACAGUGUGUGCGCCGGAAGGACCGUUGGUGCAGUCGAUGCCGCGGCACCUGUGACGCUAAAAGGAGCGUUUUCCGAGUACGCCUAGAAAGGGAUGGCAAGAUUUUGUGAACCAGAGGCACCUCCACAUAUGCACCUGCGGCAUUUCUGCAGCCUCAACAGCACGGAAAAGUACCUGAUGUGCAUGCUGUGACAAGCUGCUGUAGGUAUGGCUGGACCUGGAGAAGAAGUGUAAGCAGACCAUGCUAUGUUGCUGAUCUGCGCUGAUCUCCACAUCCAAGUUGGUCCCGCGACAGUUGGGCACCAUUGUGCCUUGCUUCAUUGACAAGGUGAUAUAAUAUGGUGCCCUGCUCGCUCUCACCCAAGCAACCCACUCCAGCGGUCUUCUCUUGGCAGACUGGAUGCAUCGAAAUACCGUUAGAAGGUCCAAUAAACAGUGCUUGGGACAUUUA